UACGUAGGAUGCAAGCGUUUGUCCGGAAUUAUUGGGCGUAAAGAGAACGUAGGUGGUUUCUUAAGUUCGAUCUUAAAGACCGGGGCUCAACCUCGGGAAUGGAUUGAAAACUGGGAGACUAGAGGAUGUUAGAGGACGGUGGAAUUCCAAGUGUAGCGGUGAAAUGCGUAGAUAUUUGGAGGAACACCAGUGGCGAAAGGCGGCCGUCUGGGACAUUCCUGACACUGAGGUUCGGAAAGCUCGGGGAGCAA
rnacentral:rRNA from 1 species